AUUGAACGCUGGCGGCAGGCCUAACACAUGCAAGUCGAGCGGAUGAGAAGAGCUUGCUCUUCGAUUCAGCGGCGGACGGGUGAGUAAUGCCUAGGAAUCUGCCUGGUAGUGGGGGACAACGUUUCGAAAGGAACGCUAAUACCGCAUACGUCCUACGGGAGAAAGCAGGGGACCUUCGGGCCUCGCGCUAUCAGAUGAGCCUAGGUCGGAUUAGCUAGUUGGUGAGGUAAUGGCUCACCAAGGCGACGAUCCGUAACUGGUCUGAGAGGAUGAUCAGUCACACUGGAACUGAGACACGGUCCAGACUCCUACGGGAGGCAGCAGUGGGGAAUAUUGGACAAUGGGCGAAAGCCUGAUCCAGCCAUGCCGCGUGUGUGAAGAAGGUCUUCGGAUUGUAAAGCACUUUAAGUUGGGAGGAAGGGCAGUAAGUUAAUACCUUGCUGUUUUGACGUUACCGACAGAAUAAGCACCGGCUAACUCUGUGCCAGCAGCCGCGGUAAAAC
rnacentral:rRNA from 1 species